CGGGAUGUAAUUCAGUGGUCAGAAGCCUUGUUUUGGGAACAAGGAGUCGCAGGUUCGAAUCCUGCUGUCCCGA
rnacentral:tRNA from 1 species